AACGGCUCCGACAGUGAGGGACGAAAGCUGGGGGAGCAAACCGGAUUAGAUACCCGGGUAGUCCCAGCCGUAAACGAUGCGCGUUAGGUGUAUCGGUGACCACGAGUCACCGAGGUGCCGAAGAGAAAUCGUGAAACGUGCCGCCUGGGAAGUACGGUCGCAAGGCUGAAACUUAAAGGAAUUGGCGGGGGAGCACCACAACAGGUGGAGCCUGCGGUUUAAUCGGACUCAACGCCGGAAAUCUCACCGGAUAAGACAGCUGGAUGAUAGUCGGGCUGAAGACUCUACUUGACUAGCU
rnacentral:rRNA from 1 species